GAUGAACGCUGGCGGCGUGCUUAACACAUGCAAGUCGAGCGAGAAGUUUUGAAAAGAUUCUUCGGAUGAAAUUUAAAAUGGAAAGCGGCGUACGGGGGAGUAACGCGUAGGCAACCUGCCCCAUACAAAGGGAUAGCAUUUGGAAACGAAUAUUAAUACCUUAUGAAACUUAACUAGUGCAUGCUGGGUAGGUCAAAGAUUUAUCGGUAUGGGAUGGGCCUGCGUCUGAUUAGCUAGUUGGUGAGGUAACGGCUCACCAAGGCGACGAUCAGUAGCCGACGUGGGAGGGUGGACGGACACAUCGGAACUGAGACCCGGUCCAAACUCCUCCGGGAGGGAGGAGUGGGGGAUAAUGCAACAUGGGGGGAACGCUGAUGCAGCAACGGCGGGGGAACUAUGAAGGCCGUUGGGUAGUAAAGUCCUGUUCUAGGGGAUGAAGACUGACAGUAACGGAGGAGAAAGCCCCGGCUAACUCCGUG
rnacentral:rRNA from 1 species